rnacentral:rRNA from 1 species
AUACGUAGGGGGCGAGCGUUGUCCGGAAUGAUUGGGCGUAAAGGGCGCGCAGGCGGCCCGGUAAGUCUGGAGUGAAAGUCCUGUUUUUAAGAUGGGAAUUGCUUUGGAUACUGUCGGGCUUGAGUGCAGGAGAGGACAGUGGAAUUCCAAGUGUAGCGGUGAAAUGCGUAGAGAUUGGGAGGAACACCAGUGGCGAAGGCGACUUACUGGACUGUAACUGACGCUGAGGCGCGAAAGUGUGGGGAGCAAACAGGAUUAGAUACCCUGGUAGUCCACGCUGUAAACGAUGAAUGCUAGGUGUAGGGGGUAUCGACCCCUUCUGUGCCGCAGUCAACACAAUAAGCAUUCCGCCUGGGGAGUACGGCCGCAAGGUUGAAACUCAAAUGAAUUGACGGGG